AGGGAAAGAGCUUGCUCUUUCCGGAAUUGAGUGGCAAACGGGUGAGUAACACGUAAACAACCUGCCUCAUACAGGGGGAUAACAGUUGGAAACGACUGCUAAUACCGCAUAAGCGCACAGGAUUGCAUGAUCCAGUGUGAAAAACUCCGGUGGUAUGAGAUGGACCCGCGUCUGAUUAGCCAGUUGGCGGGGUAACGGCCCACCAAAGCGACGAUCAGUAGCCGACCUGAGAGGGUGACCGGCCACAUUGGGACUGAGACACGGCCCAAACUCC
rnacentral:rRNA from 1 species